AAAACAUUUUGAUUUAACAAACGCGAGGUCAGACUAUGAAGGAUCGAAGUACGGGGAGAGGCAAAAAAGCAACUAAAUCAUUCCAAGGACGCUGCGAGACGUGUCGAUACUAUAGUAAUUAAUUAUAAUAGGCAUACGUGUAGUUUCGCCACGGCCGGUAUUCGAAGCUCCCACGUAACCUGAAUUACGACGUUACAACCGAUUCCAUGCUUAUUUUUUUACUCUUCAGACAACGUCCACGUUGGAUUACGUGCAAGAGAACAUAAUGGAGAGAUAUCCUUUAGGACGUGACCAUUUCGAUUCGGAUUACGAGACCACGACUGAACGCAUCACUACAAGAGAAUCGUUCCCCCGUAAGGUUGUGGCCUUUACAGAGAAAAUCCAGUCAAAGCCGUCUCUUCCUCGAAUUGUUCUCGUGGCGAUAUUUAAGGUAAGUAACCGAAUUGCGUAAGAAAAAUUAACCACAGAAGAAAGACAAGUUGG
rnacentral:lncRNA from 1 species